GUGCUGAUUCAGCAACACAUAUACUAAAAUUGGAACAAUACAGAGAAGAUUAGCAUGGCUCCUGAGUAACGAUGACGUGCAAAUUCAUGAAGCCCCAUAUUUUU